rnacentral:rRNA from 1 species
AUUGAACGCUGGCGGCAUGCCUUACACAUGCAAGUCGAACGGUAACAGGUCUUCGGAUGCUGACGAGUGGCGAACGGGUGAGUAAUACAUCGGAACGUGCCUAGUAGUGGGGGAUAACUACUCGAAAGAGUGGCUAAUACCGCAUGAGAUCUACGGAUGAAAGCAGGGGAUCGCAAGACCUUGUGCUACUAGAGCGGCCGAUGGCAGAUUAGGUAGUUGGUGGGAUAAAAGCUUACCAAGCCGACGAUCUGUAGCUGGUCUGAGAGGACGAUCAGCCACACUGGGACUGAUACACGGCCCAGACUCCUAGGGGAGGCAGCAGUGGGGAAUUUUGGACAAUGGGCGAAAGCCUGAUCCAGCAAUGCCGCGUGCAGGAUGAAGGCCUUCGGGUUGUAAACUGCUUUUGUACGGAACGAAAAGCCCCGGGUUAAUACCCUGGGGUCAUGACGGUACCGUAAGAAUAAGCACCGGCUAACUACGUGCCAGCCGCCGCGGUAA